rnacentral:rRNA from 1 species
AGUGAACGCUGGCGGUAGGCCUAACACAUGCAAGUCGAACGGCAGCACAGGAGAGCUUGCUCUCUGGGUGGCGAGUGGCGGACGGGUGAGGAAUACAUCGGAAUCUACUCUGUCGUGGGGGAUAACGUAGGGAAACUUACGCUAAUACCGCAUACGACCUACGAGUGAAAGCAGGGGACCUUCGGGCCUUGCGCGAUUGAAUGAGCCGAUGUCGGAUUAGCUAGUUGGCGGGGUAAAGGCCCACCAAGGCGACGAGCCGUAGCUGGGCUGAGAGGAUGAUCAGCAACACUGGAACUGAGACACGGUCCAGACUCCUACGGGAGGCAGCAGUGGGGAAUAUUGGACAAUGGGCGCCAGCCUGAUCCAGGCAUACCGCGUGGGUUAAGAAGGACUUCGGGUUGUAAAGCCCUUUUGUUGGGAAAGAAAUCCAGCUGGCUAAUACCCGGUUGGGAUGACGGUACCCAAAGAAUAAGCACCGGCUAACUUCGUGCCAGCCGCCGCGGUAA